ensembl:lncRNA
GUGCUAAUGGUAGAGCCAGCGGCGCUGCACAGUUGAAGGGCUAUAAUUCUACGAUCACCACCGUACACCCGAACGCCUCACCUGCAGCUGCUGUGCCGGAGGGACGCUCCCGAAGCUUCUCGCCCCCAUCCUCAGGUUUUCAGGGGUUAGUGGACUCGUUCCCCUCCACCACUGCAACACGAGAUCCCCUCGUCGGAAGUCUGAGUUUCUCCCCUUCGACCGCGGUGAGUCAAAAUCUUCAACAGUCAGAGGAAAGGCUCAUGGGUCAGAUGGUGGAUAUGUUUCAGGCCAUGAUGGAGAGAAUGCAGCACCACAACACUCAGACACCAAGGAGAGGGGCGUUUAAUCAGUUCUCGCGAAAUAGACGGAGGAGGGAGGAUGCCUGCAAAGUCUGCAGUGAUCCAAGACAUACCACAGUAUCACACUGCCUAUCUGACAAACUGUGCUUUUCAUGCUUUGCUCCUGGCCAUGUUCGGUUGUCUUGCCCGGCUAGUACGUCUACCCAGGUCCAGCCGGAGGGAAACUAACCGACCUGUAUUCGGUGGGAGGCAGUGCAGGUCUUACAGGAAGCUCCCAAACUGCUGAUACCUGUGAUGCGGAGUCAGUGUAUGAGGAGGCAAGACAAAAAUGCAAAGAUUCUGAAGUUAUCUUCCAAAACGUUCACAAAGUCGGCAAUAGUGACAGUCUUUUCUACACUCCCGUCACUUUCGGUGGGCUUUUGAAAAUGGGUGGUAUGCUGGACAGUGGAUCCAUGGCCUGCAGCAUGAAUGAAGCAGCCGAGGUGACUCUGCGUGAGUCUGGACUGAUAUCUGAUCAAGAUGUUAUCAAAGUGGAUGUGACCCUUGUUGGGUGUGGAGGACUACGUGUGAAGCCUAAGUAUGCCCUCAAUGUGGAGAUGGAGGAGAGGGAUAUCAUCAGGAAAUCGACCAGUGAGUAUGCAUCACCAUUGGUGCUCGUGUGGAAGAAGAAUGGCGAUCUACGCAUUUGCAACGAUUUCCGGUGGCUCAACAAGAGAACCCUGAAGGAUGCCCAUCCUCUUCCACAUCAAGCAGAUUGUCUGGCUGCUUUGGGGGGAAACAGCCUGUUCAGUACCAUGGACUUGACAUCUGGCUUCUACAACAUGACGCUGCAUGAAGAUGAUAGGAAAUAUUCUGCCUUCACCACGCCCAUGGGUCUAUAUGAGUAUAAUCGGCUGCCGCAGGGUCUGUGCAACAGCCCUGCAAGCUUCAUGCGCAUGAUGACCAGCAUCUUUGGUGACCAGAAUUAUUUGAGCCUGUUGUGUUACCUGGACGAUCUCCUGGUGUUUGCUCCAGACGAGGACACUGCCUUGCAGCGCCUGGAAAUGGUGUUUGAGAGGCUGCGCGGGCAUAACUUGAAGCUGGCCCCCAGAAAGUGCUUCUUCCUGAGGAAAUCCGUGAAGUUCCUCGGUCACAUCAUCGAUCAAAAUGGGGUAUCAACAGACCCAUCCAAAGUCGAAGUUAUCGCAAACAUGAGGAGCGUGGACCUCAUGGACACUGAUGGAGUGACUCCUUCCCAACGAAAGGUCAGAUCAUUUUUGGGGAUGAUUAAUUACUACC